rnacentral:lncRNA from 10 species
AUUUUGGAAGUGGCCCACCACCAUCUUGGGAGCUCUGUGAGCAAGGACCCCCCGGUAACAUUUUGGCGACCACGAAGGGACCUCCAAAGCGCCUCCAUCAGAGAGCUCCAUCCAGACCUAGACUUGGACAAUAGGCAGUUGUUUGCUUGCCUCUGGCUCUGCUCACUCUCCAUGGGGGUCUAUAGCUGGUGAUCAUCUUGUAUACCUAAUUCUGGCUUCAUCUUCAGACUCGGACAGGAGGCAAACUGAGCUCCUGAAUCAUUAGGAUGGACGCGCCAUCAACAGAAUCUGCUUUUAGUGGAAUGGGUCUUCGGAUAAUCUGUUUUCAUCACAUCAAGAGCUAAGCCAGUCAGUUAACACAGAGGAAAUAUUAAAGGCAGUAUUUUUUCAUUAAGGGCAGUCCAGCUCAGUGCCAAGAGAAAUCCCCUAGGAUCAAGAUUUUUCUCACAAGGGGAGAUGAUACCAUAGUGAGUGUCCAGCUUCCC